AUUGAACGCUGGCGGCAGGCCUAACACAUGCAAGUCGAGCGGCUGCAGAGUGCUUGCUUCCGGUUUCAGCGGCGGACUGGCGAGUAAUGCCUAAGAAUCUGCCAGUUUGCUGUUUCGAAGGUCCUAACAUGGGCGCUAAUACCGCAUUCGCCCUGACGGCGUAAGUGUGAGAUCUUCGGGCCUCCCGCCCUCAGAUGAGUCUAGGUCGGAUUAGCUAGUUGGUGGGGUAAAGGCCUACCAAGGCGACGAUCCGUAACUGGUCUGAGAGGAUGAUCAGUCACACUGGAACUGAGACACGGUCCAGACUCCUACGGGAGGCAGCAGUGGGGAAUAUUGGACAAUGGGCGAAAGCCUGAUCCAGCCAUGCCGCGUGUGUGAAGAAGGCCUUCGGGUUGUAAAGCCCUUUUGGUUGGAAAGAAAAGCAGUAGGUUAAUACCUUGCUGUUCUGACGGUACCAACAGAAUAAGCACCGGCUAACUUCGUG
rnacentral:rRNA from 1 species